GCCAUCUAUAUGUAUCUACAACACAGCAAUUUAAAAAAUCAUCUACAAAGUGAUGACAUACAGCAUAGAUUGACAAAAUAUAUCACACAACAGAGUUAUGAACCAGUACAAUCCAUUUUACAUCAACAGAACAUAUAAACUAUCGAGGCUGUUAUUCAAGCUCUUGCCAUCGACGUUCUUGAUGGCAACGAUCAUGCCGUGAUGGGCAGCACCAAGUAGCACAGUAUCCAAUCUUACCUAGCAUAUUAACAAGAAUAUUAGAUAUUUGCACAUAUGGAUAGAUAGUAGAAAUAAGAAAAUUGCAAAAAAUAUAAAAAUGAAUUACAUGUCCAGAAUUCUUAAAUCUUGUAGUGCCUACAAAUGAGAAUAACAUUGUAUCUACUAUAAAACAAGAUUAAACAUGAGGUUGCUUAAAAUUAACCCAAAGAAAAGUGUGUCAAAUGACAAAGUGACGAAACACACAUCACAGAACUCCUACUAUAGCAGCAGUAGUUGAGGCCAUAUAAACCCAUUGUAAUGUAGUGGACUAUGAAACAUGAAAAUACUUGAUAAACAAUGAGAUAAUAGAUAGGAAAGUGCAACUUGAAAUAAUCAUGCAUCGUUUAUAUUCAUUCAGGAUAUACAGAAAUGAUUUUCUAUCAUAAACCCAUUGAUUAUAUUAUCCGUGUUACUUCUGUGCAAGACGAUUCUAUACGCUACCCACAUGACCAGCAUAGUACUAUUAUUUGUGACAGAAAAAAAUAGUUAAAUGAAAUUAACAAGUAUAUAUUUAUACAUGGUGGCAGUAGUAGGAACAACCCUUGCUCCUACCUCAUGAAUCAGACUACAAAUUUAGUCUGAUGCAAGUAUAUAUAGGUACGUUCAGACUAAAAAUUUGAAGUAGGAGCAAGUAUUGCACGAACCAGUAUAUAUUUAUACAAGGUGGCAGCAGUAGGAACAAGGCUUGCACGAAUCAGACUCAUACAUAGCUUAAGUAUUACUUCAUUUUAAUGAAGGUACAAGCCGAGUCAGAACACAUGCAGUAGCAAUCACGAAUAUAGAUACAGAUCCCGAAACCUUCCAGGACAUAAGC
rnacentral:rRNA from 1 species